CAGCAGCCACGGUAAAACGUAGGUGGCAAGCGUUGUCCGGAAUUAUUGGGCGUAAAGGGCUCGCAGGCGGUUUCUUAAGUCUGAUGUGAAAGCCCCCGGCUCAACCGGGGAGGGUCAUUGGAAACUGGGAAACUUGAGCGCAGAAGAGGAGAGUGGAAUUCCACGUGUAGCGGUGAAAUGCGUAGAGAUGUGGAGGAACACUAGUGGCGAAGGCGACUCUCUGGUCUGUAACUGACGCUGAGGAGCGAAAGCGUGGGGAGCGAACAGGAUUAGAGACCCGCGUAGUCCCUGUCUCUUAUAC
rnacentral:rRNA from 1 species